GCCGACCACAGUAACAAACGUCUCUUCAACUCAUAAUUUACUUGGGCAUGUACGAUCAGUCAAGGAAUUUAGCAAUAUCAAACUCGAUUUCUUCUUACGAAAAGAAAUUUAUUGGAACUUGAUCAGUACGUAUAUAUAUAAUAAUUUUUCAUAAUAAAAUUUUCGGAGUAGAUAUUAUAUUCAUCAAACGUAACUGCGAGAAAUUCAGUCAAGACAACACACGAGAAAAUGGGCUUCAAACUAAAUUUGUUAUUCAUAUUUGAUGUCUUCAGCCUGUUGAGUAUGUGGUACUUAUGUCCUUUAAUAGCAGAUUCGUCUCUUCAUUUUCCUCUGUGGCCUAAAAAUUGUGUUCUUGUGUAUGACCGUGGUCCUUGCUUUUCGGAGGACAUGAGAAUCAAUGGAACUUUUCAGUGGAGAUAUUGGUUUGAUUCGUAUGAGACGUUAGCUUGUAAGCGUUUUGAGUACGGGGGUUGCGGAGGAAAUGGAAAUAAUUAUGUAACUUUACAAGAAUGCUAUGAUAAAUGCUAUGAUAUCUUAGCUUAAACGUCAGUAUCAAAAUGUCUUGAGAGAAAGACAAAAUUGCAACAUUCGAAGAGGAAAUUACAACCGUCGAAUAGGAAUUACGGAUCUUUAAUACACAAAAAUUUUUUUAUAAUGUCUCAUAUAUUGAUAUAUAUUUGUAAUAGUUUGACAUUGAGUUUCAAUGGAAGUACUAAAUGAAAGAUUUUGUGAAGUCUUUAUAAAAUACUUAUAAAAGUGUUUUAUUUUUACAAUUAUUGACUGAAAAUAAAAUAAAAUGUACGGAUAUGUAUAUAAAAUAUGUAGGAAUAUAUAUGUAAAUUUGCGUCGUUUAUAAAGAAUAUUUCGCAAUAGAAGAAAUUUGUUUACGUUAGAUGUGAUUUAUUUAUUGCAUACUUAAAAUGACGCCUAAUGUACAAAUCUCAAUAAAUUUUAAUAAAACUUUUUAAAAUGUG